rnacentral:rRNA from 1 species
UACAGAGGUCCCGAGCGUUGUUCGGAUUCACUGGGCGUAAAGGGCACGUAGGCGGCUCGGCAAAUCGGUCGUGGAAUCCCGACGCUUACCGUCGGAACGGCGGCCGAAAAUACCGGCUCGAGGGCGUGAGGGGUCACUGGAACUCCUGGUGAAGCGGUGAAAUGCGUAGAUAUCAGGAGGAACGCCGGAGGCGAAAGCGAGUGACUGGCGCGUUCCUGACGCUGAGGUGCGAAAGCUAGGGGAGCAAACAGG